rnacentral:rRNA from 1 species
AGAACGAACGCUGGCGGCGUGGAUUAGGCAUGCAAGUCGAACGCGAAAGAGGGGGGAAACCCCCUCUAGUAGAGUGGCGAACGGGUGAGUAACGCGUGAAGAGCCUGCCUUCAACAGGGGGAUAACACUCCCCAACGGGGUGCUAAUACCGCAUGAGACCACGGGAUCGCAUGGUCCUGAGGUCAAAGGUGGCCUCUAUUAUAAGCUACCGGUUGAAGAUGGCUUCGCGUCCCAUUAGCUAGUUGGCGGUGUAAGAGACCACCAAGGCGACGAGUGGGUAGCUGGGUCUGAGAGGAUGGUCAGCCCACACUGGGACUGAGAUACGGGCCCAGACUCCGUACGGGAGCAGCAGUCGAGAGGCUUGGCAAGUGGGGAAACCCUGACCGAAGCGCGCCGCGUGGAGGAUAGGAGCCGUUGGUACGUAAACGUCGUUU